rnacentral:pre_miRNA from 1 species
AAAAAGACAAACCCUGGUUUUCGUGUCCAACAUUUAACUGUCCGUCUUAUAUGAAAUUUUUUUAUAAUUAGUAUUUUUAUUGCUGUUAGAUGAUAAAACAUGAUUAGUACUUUAUGCGUGAUUUGUCUUUUUAUUUUUUUCAUAUUUUUUUAAAUAAAACGGACGGUCAAACGUUGGACAUGGAAACUCAGGUUUGUCUCUUUU